AUGUUACGUCAGGCUAAAAAGCAUGAUGAGCUACUCGCUAAGAAUGGCUCUCAGCGCCCAGUUGGGGCACAACCUUUACCUGAAGUCCAUCUGAAUGUUGCAAAUAGACAAAAGUUUAAUGGUACCUUUCGAGGUAAACAUUCCAAUUUCGAGCAUAAGCGAAAGCACAAUGGGAACAUGAGAUCUAGAUACCCAGGAAAGGGAAAAGGCACUUCAAAGCACAGGGUUGAUAAAUCUAAGCUUUGCAACAAGUGUGGAUGCUACACACAUUCUACUGAAAAGUGCACAAUGCUCAAGCAUCUGGUUAUGCUGUACUAG
rnacentral:rRNA from 1 species